AUGGCGCAAAUAACCAUCUCCGCGGUAGCUAUAGCGGCAGCGGUACUUAUACUAGUGCCGGUGUUCACUUUCACUAGAGGAACAGUAGAAGCAGCUGAUCCGAUCGGGAUGCCCAACUGCGUCAUCUCCUGCGGCGACGUGGAGGUGCCGUACCCGUUCGGCAUUGGCGCGAACACCAGCUGCUACCUGCCAGGCUUCAACCUCACCUGCGACAACACUACCGGCUCAAGCCCACGGCUGCUGCUGGACGCCGACGGCACUAUUCAAGUCCUCGGCAUCAUGAACCUCGAUUCGGGGGGCUACAUGUACGUCCAACGCAAUGGUGACGUUAAAAUCAAAGUCGAUGCCAAUGGCAAUGGCAACGGCACGUUCAGCCAAGGCCUUAAGCACGACGGACCAUACAUGUUGCUAACCGUGUUGCUGCCCUUUAGGAGCGAGCUCAUCUUGAUGGGCUGCAACGUGCAGGCGACGGUGAAGAGUGGCAACGCCACCGUGGCCAGCUGCACCUCGCUUUGUGAUGACACAGCAGACUAUGAAACCAGCGUGAUCGACCGAUGCUCUGGCGGCAGCACAGGCUGCUGCCGUGCGAACAUCAUCAAGCCGGGCUACGACGACGACGGACGUGGCGAAGUAUACAGCAGCAGUAGCACCGCAUAUGACGUGCAGCUCAGACGGUUGGGUCGUUGGAACCGUAGCGCGGACCGGGACCGAUUCCCGGUGCGUGUGUUUAUCGCCGAACGUGGGUGGUUCGACAAUACCUCCGUCUCAAACGACCUCCUGCAGACUGGCCGACCCCCAUCAAAGGAGACAUUGAAAGUUCCCGUUUGGCUGUCGUGGGAGGUUGUUGACCAUCCUAACAGGAGCAGUGUCUGCAAGAGCAACCACAGCCAACGCGGAAAUGGCCGAAAAAGAGGAGGCUAUGCAUGUGCCUGCAAAAAUGGUUACGAAGGCAAUCCUUACCUCACAGACGGGUGCAAAGAUAUCGAUGAGUGCGAGUGGUCACCAGCACUCACUGGAUGCUAUGGUGAAUGCAUCAACACGGAAGGAUCCUUCAUGUGUGGGUGCCCGCCAGGAACCACCGGCAACUUCACCAUACCCGGUGGGUGCAUCAACACGGAAGAUAUUUGCAGGACAUCCUGCGGGGAUGUGGAGGUGCCAUACCCGUUUGGUAUUGGCUCGUCCAAGUGCUACUGGCCAGGGUUCCGCCUCGAGUGUUACACGGGCUAUCAACCCCCGCGUUUGUUACUCAGUAAUGGUCGGUUCCAGGUCGUCGGUAUCUCCCUUCACAACUCCACGAUGCGUGUUAUCCGGAUCGACAACCUUAGGCCCUACACAACGUUACCAACUUCAAUGGCCACUGAUUUAGGGGAGGAAUUCCCUUACUUUCCCGAUGAUGAAGAGGUGCCCUACUCGCUCUCCACGAGCAAUGAGCUUGUCGUCACGGGGUGCAACGCGCAUGCGACGUUGGUGGGGCACAACAACCCAGCCAUUAUCAGUGGCUGCGCCACCUUCUGCUACUACAACGACACCGGUGGAGUUUGGGGCGAGGGGUCGUCAACAAAUGGCAUCCACGGGGAAAACGACGGCGACAAGUACUGCUAUGGCAAAGGGUGCUGCAAGGCGCGCAUCUCCGAGUCCGUGGAUGGGAUGCCAAAGAAAUUGGUCUUCAAAUGGCUGGACGCCACCAGCAACUCUCAAUCGGUCUUCGUGUUCAUCGCAGAGGAGGGAUGGUUUGAUCCGUGGGGUGUCACCGGCAAACUAAUGCGGGGGGGUUAUCGUGCGGAUGCUAUGAAGGUUCCCAUUCUUCUCCGUUGGGAGGUGUUCCUGCCGCAUAGUGGCUCGUCAUCAGCCAACGUGAGCUCACACCCGGACUGCAACGGCGGGGAUUAUCAGGUCACGCCACGCGACCAGAUCUGCAAGAGCAAGCACAGCCAGUGCAAACGUGGGAACAGAGGCUAUACGUGCCAGUGCAACGAGGACGGCGGUUACCACGGCAAUCCAUACCUCGUCGGCGGAUGCAAAGAUGAACGCGCCGAAUACUUAAAAGGUUUAAGCAUCACUAUGGGAGUUGCUAGUGGGGCAGGCCUCAUCCUUGUGGUCCUCAUUGCAUACUUUAUCUCCUACAAAUUUAAGCAUCAAAGGGCACAAAUGUUGAAACGGAAAUAUUUUGAAAAAAACCGCGGGCAAUUGUUGCAACAAUUGGUAUCACAAAGAGCUGAUAUUGCAGAGAAAAUGAUCAUAACUUUGGAAGAGCUAGAGAAGGCAACAAACAAUUUUGAUAAAGCUCGUGAACUUGGUGGUGGUGGGCAUGGUACUGUCUAUAAAGGGAUUUUGUUGGAUCUCCAUGUUGUAGCCAUCAAGAAACCAAAGAUGAUUGUUCAAAGGGAGAUUGAUGAGUUUAUUAAUGAGGUUGCUAUCCUAUCACAAAUCAACCAUAGGAAUGUAGUAAAACUAUAUGGUUGUUGCCUUGAAACAGAAGUGCCACUGUUAGUCUACGAGUUCAUAUCCAAUGGAACUCUUUAUGACCAUCUUCAUGUCGAAGGACCAACAUCAUUGUCAUGGGCUGAUAGGCUACGAAUAGCAACAGAAACUGCAAAAUCACUUGCCCAUCUUCACUCAACAGCUUUAGUACCUAUCAUCCAUAGAGAUGUCAAACCUGCUAACAUACUUUUGGAUGAUACUCUGACAGCAAAGGUAGCAGACUUUGGAGCUUCAAGGUACAUUCCAUUGGACAAAUCAGGGCUAACAACAAAUGUGCAAGGUACACUAGGAUAUCUGGAUCCAAUGUACAUGCACACAUGGCGCCUCACGGAGAAAAGUGAUGUUUAUAGCUUUGGUGUUAUGCUUAUAGAGUUGAUGACUAGAAAGAAGCCAUUUACAUAUAUGGCUCCCGAAGGAAAUGGUCUUGUGGCACAUUUUGCUAUCUUAUUUGCCAGAGGCCAUUUGGUGGAGAUAUUAGAUCCACAAGUUCUGAGCGAGGGUGGCAAUAGAAUUGAUGAAAUCGCUGCAAUUGCGGUAGCAUGUGUAAAAUUAAGAGGGGAGGAAAGGCCAACCAUGAGACAGGUAGAAUUGCGAUUGGAAGUUGCUCAAUCACCUGAGGAAUUCGAGGUGGAUGAGGAUAUUGCAGAAAAUUCUCAAUUAGCACGUGGAGCUGGAUUGACUAGCAGGCAGUAUAGUAUGGAAGAAGAGUAUGUGUUGUCUGCAAGAUAUCCACGGUAG
rnacentral:rRNA from 1 species